GAACUUCCUGAAAAACAGCUAUUUAAGGAAUAUGGUAAGAACCUGGCAGGAGCCCAGUUUAUACUCAGUAGCUUUGACCUAAGAAAGAGAAGAGUAAAUAUCAAACCCAAGGUAUUCCUGAUUCAAAGGCCUUUUUCAGAGAAGCCAGAUCCCCUGCCUUGGUGAUAAUAUUAAUGUUUGAAAAUGCCUUCUCUGAAUCAUCAAUGUACCAAGCAGAGUCAUCCUGAAUGGGAUGUUCUGGGGGAUGAUCUCUGUUAAACCGGCUGCUAUCAGUGACAUUCUUGUAGGUCUCAAUCAUGUAAUACGGUGGCCCACCAUCCUGCCGGCGUGGAAAUGCGUUGUCAGGAAUGACACAGAUUGGAAGGGGGUGUCUGGGGGUUUUUGCUCCCACUUUUCAAGCCACUUCUUCUGUGUUCACUCAGCACUAAGGACCAAAGGAUUUUCAUCCUGCUUUAGCUCAUCCUCUGUAGCUUCUAACUUCCUCCUGGUUAGAAACCUCCAUGUGUAUAAAAGAAGACUCCAACAUCCCAGUUUAAGGAGGUAAAUGCAGUUUUCCUGUCCUUUUGACUUGGAGCUUCCUGUCUCCUCCUUUAUGAUUAAUAAAUAAAGAUCCAUUCAUUCUCUGUGAGAUUUAUGUUCCUCUGUGGUAAAGAUGUUCAACUUCCAGCUCGCUGCUGCUGCACAACUCAGGAAGUUGAGGGCCCAGGAAGAGGAGGAGGAAUCCCCGAGCUCCCCUCCUCUGCCCUUGGAUGUGGCUCUCACGUGCUUACAGGGGGAGUCAUAAAUUGCUCCAGCAGGAGGAUGAGGGGCCAAAAGAGGACCAUCAUGAGGAAAUGUGAGAGAAAUGAAUCCAGCCAGCACAAGUGGUUGGUUUACAAUUAGGUACAGAAGAGACUAAACCUAGGGAGCUUAUUCAGAAACAAGCAUUUUAUCGACAAGGGUUUCUUGCUGCUCUGACUGCCUUAGAUGUAAGAUUCUAAAGGUGGAAAUGUAACUGACAACACUUCUGCUGUGAAACUGGGUCACCCACAUAGGAUCUGGUGACGUGUUUAUAUUUCCAAAUACGCAGAGAACUCAGAACAUUUUCAAACAUUUGCUUUAAAAUAGCCUCAUGGUUUAUUCUUCUAGGAAAGUGGAUCUUUUCUGCAUCAUUGAGUUAGGCCUUUUUGCAUGACCCAGGCUCUGGUCCUUGGCUUCUCAAUGUGCUUUCUGUGACGUUAUUCCAGGAAUACAUAAAUGAUAGAGUACGUGUGACAUUUGUGCCAAUAAGAAAUAAGUCAACAUAUUAAAGUUAGAGAAGCUUGUCUCAAGCUGGGUGGAUCUUUAGUUUUUAGAAACACACAAUGUUAACUGCAAUGCCAAAAUAAACUGCUAAUAGUGACAGAUUUGAAAACAAAACCAAUAAGACUGUUUGAAAGAACCAAAAUUGCAUUUGAUAUAUUUUUUUCUCAUUUGCAAAAGGGUUUAUUAUAUUGGGGGCAUAGGGAAAGUAUACAUUUAUAAAAGUAAAAACGGAUCUGUUCUUAUGCGAUUAUAGUUACGUGGGCAUGUUAGUCUUAUAAUUUUAGUGACUUCUAAAAUUUUGUGUCUGUGGAAGACAGAAAAAUAAAACACUUUCUUUGGUCUGUUAUAGACUUGUUAGACUUUAAGUUUUUGCCUAUUUCUCAUAAACUCGGAAAAAUAUCUACAGUUCUGCAAAAUGCAGUUCUAUCGAUAACAGUUAAAAAGCUUUUAAU